rnacentral:rRNA from 1 species
UGGGGAAUAUUGGACAAUGGGCGCAAGCCUGAUCCAGCCAUGCCGCGUGAGUGACGAAGGCCUUCGGGUUGUAAACCGCUUUUGUCAGGGAAGAAACGCUCUGGGCUAAUACCCUGGGGUAAUGACGGUACCUGAAGAAUAAGCACCGGCUAACUACGUGCCAGCAGCCGCGGUAAUACGUAGGGUGCAAGCGUUAAUCGGAAUUACUGGGCGUAAAGCGUGCGCAGGCGGUUAUGCAAGACAGAUGUGAAAUCCCCGGGCUCAACCUGGGAACUGCAUUUGUGACUGUAUAGCUAGAGUACGGUAGAGGGGGAUGGAAUUCCGCGUGUAGCAGUGAAAUGCGUAGAUAUGCGGAGGAACACCGAUGGCGAAGGCAGUCCCCUGGGCCUGUACUGACGCUCAUGCACGAAAGCGUGGGGAGCAAACAGGAUUAGAUACCCUAGUAGUCCCUGAGCGGGCUGGCAAGGCGCAU